ACCUUGCUGCUGUACCCCGGCCCGUGCGUGGACGGGCGGGAGCGGGCAGCGGAUCCUGGGUGCCCAGAGCGGCACCCACCGCUCGCGGGCCGAGGUGAGAAGGCACGGGCACCGUGGCAUUGCUCGUGCGGGAUUUCCCUUUCCCGUCGCGCCAGUUAGCUCAUGUCAUGGUAAUCCAGAAGCUGCUCCAGAGGCCCUAAAGGGUUCCCAGCCAAGCCUGGGGUCACUGGCAUGUAAAAGGAUCCCAGCUCCAAAGGUUCAGGGGAGUGGGCAGGGCGUACAGAUUCCACAUCUCUGAGUCAAAGAUGUUUAAGGCUGUCUGGGAGAAGGAAAUGAGUUCAUCUUCUCAAGAUCAUCACUCCCUAUUGCAAGUUCUCUAAUAUAAUCCAGUAAUACAAAAAAAUCCUAAGGCUAACAAAACUUCUUACCAAAGCCACAGCUGGAGGGAGAGGUGAACUAGUGAGACCCAUCCUGCUUAAAAAACAAAAGUGGAGCAGAACAUGCUUUUUGUGGAGGCUGCUUGCAUACAUUAAAUAACUUGCAAUAGGCAAAAGAAAGUUUUGCCUCAGGCACCUGUCUGGAAGUUAUUAGAGUCCCACAGAAACUGCCUAUUGGAUGCAGAAGACCCUUUUCACUUCUUUGCUUUUUGUGUAAAGAAGAA